rnacentral:lncRNA from 1 species
GGCGGGGCUCAGCAACCUCGCGGCGCGGAAGGGUUUCGUUGCUAGGGAGAUGGGCUGAGCCGGGCGGGCAUCGCGCCAGACCUGCUACUCUGGAUAAUCCACUCUCCUGGAUAAUCCACUACCCUGGAUAAUCGGCUGCCCGCUUUUGCGCAUGUUAGGGAGUUGACGGCCUGUAGCAUUCUGAUGCAGCAAAAUAUUUCGCAGGGUCUGUCAUAGGGAUCUCCGGUGAGAGGAGGUUCCCUUCGAAGGCAGAACUGGAAACCUUGCUGCUAACUUGGGUGUUGAAAGCAGCAGGGGCCUAGAAGACAUUAAACCGAUACCACAGAAAUACAAAGGAUCAUUAGAGACUAUUAUGAACAACUAUAUGCCAACAAAUUGGAAACCAAAUGGAAAUGGAUAAAUUCCUGAACAGAUACAACUUACCAAAAUUGGACCAAGAAGAAAUAGAAAACCUGAAAAGACCAACUAUGAGUAAUGAGAUUAAAUCAGUAAUAUAGAGUCUCCCAUCAAAGAAAAGUCCAGGCCCUGAUGGCUUCACUGCUGAAUUCUACUGAACAGUUAAAGAAGAACUCAUACCAGUUCUCAAACUCAUCCUGUGAGGGCAGCAUUACCCUGAUACCAAAACUAGAUAUGGACACAAGAAAAAAAAUCUAUAGGCCAGUAUCCCUGAUGAACAUAGAUGCAAGAAUCCUCAACAAGACCAGGUGUGGUGGUUCAUGCCUGUAAUCCCAGCACUUUGGGAGGCCAAGGCAGGUGGAUCACCUGAGGUCAGGAAUUUGAGACCAGCCUGGCCAACAUGGCAAAACCCUGUCUGUACUAAAAAUACAAAAAUUAGCCGGGCAAGGUGGCGUGUGCCUGUAAUCCUAGCUACUUGGGAGGCUGAGGCAGGAGAAUUGCUUGAACCUGGAGGGAGGAGGGGCAGAAGUUGCAGCGAGCUCAGAUCGUCCCACUGCACUCCAGCCUGGGUGACAGAGUGAGACUCCAUCUCAAAAUAAGUAAAUAAAUAAAGAGACUCAACUAGCA